AUUGAACGCUGGCGGCAGGCUUAACACAUGCAAGUCGAGCGGAGUGAUGGUGCUUGCACUAUCACUUAGCGGCGGACGGGUGAGUAAUGCUUAGGAAUCUGCCAUUUAGUGGGGGACAACAUUCCGAAAGGAAUGCUAAUACCGUAUACGUCCUACGGGAGAAAGCAGGGGAUCUUCGGACCUUGCGCUAAAUGAUGAGCCUAAGUCGGAUUAGCUAGUUGGUGGGGUAAAGGCCUACCAAGGCGACGAUCUGUAGCGGGUCUGAGAGGAUGAUCCGCCACACUGGGACUGAGACACGGCCCAGACUCCUACGGGAGGCAGCAGUGGGGAAUAUUGGACAAUGGGCGGAAGCCUGAUCCAGCCAUGCCGCGUGUGUGAAGAAGGCCUUUUGGUUGUAAAGCACUUUAAGCGAGGAGGAGGCUCUUCUAGUUAAUACCUAGGAUGAGUGGACGUUACUCGCAGAAUAAGCACCGGCUAACUCUGUGCCAGCAGCCGCAGUAAAAC
rnacentral:rRNA from 1 species